AGGGAUAUAGCUCAGGUGGUACAGCACAUGCUUAGCGUGCACGAGGUCCUGGGUUCAACCCCCAGUACCUCCU
rnacentral:tRNA from 1 species